AUUGAAGGAAGGAAGAAAAUACUUCCUUAGGUUACUCACUGGUUGCCAGAGAUGAGGAAUAAGUUAUGUGACUUCAAGAAGUCCUUAACCAGCAGGAAGAGCGCAUCCUUCCCUUUUGACAUCUUGGGGACAGCUGAAUGAGGCUGACCAUUUUCACUUUCAAGGCAACACGGGUUUUUUUUUUUUUUUUUUUUUUUUUUUUUUUUUUUUGCAGCUACACCUGUGACAUAUGGAAGUUCCCAGGCCAGGGUUUGAAAGGAAACUGCAGCUGCUGGCCUAUACCACAGCCACAGCAAAAAGGGAUCCAAGCCACGUCAGUGGCCAACGAAGCUUGCAGCAACACUGGAUUCUUAGCCCACUGAGUGAGACCAGGGAUGGAACACAUAUCCUCCCAGAGACAAGGUUGGGUCCUUAACCUGCUAAGCCACAACAGAAACUCCAACAAUGAAUGCUUUUAUGUCACCUUUGCAUCUGGGAGGCUCACAGAUCUGUGGCCUCAUCUGAGAUCACAGGUCAUCAUAGAGAGAGGUAGAUGAGAAUUCACAAAGUUUCCUAUAUUUUUAAUACAUUCACUUGGUUUUAUUUUAUAAGGAAUAAAAUUUCUACAUGGAGCACAGGGGCAGAAGCACAGAGAGGGGAAAAUGUGUUCAUAUGUCACCAGCAGAUUCUACACAAUAUUGUUCCCCUGACUUAAUUCACAAAGGCAGCUUCCCAGAGACUUUGAACUACCUUGGGCAUGAGGCGGGAGCAGGUGCGGGUGGGGGCAAAUAUAAAGCUGGCAAUUGUAGGCAUUUAGGAUGCUAAAAAAGAUAGCGCAGGAAAGGAAAAUAGAAUGAGGAAAAGAAUGCUGGCUUGAUCAGGGAGAGAAAAUCACAGAGCAUUUUGGGACCUCUGGUUUAGAGGAGAGUGAGAUCAAUGAAAGGUCUUGAAACUAUGUGUGAAUAUUCUGUUUAGUGGGCCUGAGAAUGUUCUAUUCUCGACCAAACCCACUAGCGUGUGUGUGUGUGUGUGUGUGUGUGUGUGUGUGUGUUUAAAUAGGAAAUGGAUGCACAUUUCGCAUGUCUAAAAGGCUUACAAAGGCAUUCAGUGAGAAUGUUCUUACAAUCACCGCCUCUAAGCCAUUCAAGUCCCAAUCCUGGAGGCAGCCGAUGUUACCAUCUUCUUGUGUAUUUUUCCAGAGCUAUUUGAUGCAUAUAUAAUAUGACUAUAUUUAUUCUCUCCUGUUGCCAGUAUGGAGGAAGGGUUUUUGAGGCUUCUGUGUUGACAUUUUUUUCUUGUUAGUCAAGCCAUCUGAGAGUUAGAUGGUCCCUCCACAAAAAAAGACAAGCUUGGGACCAUUAGCACUGACUGGAAGGCCAACUUGUUUUCCUGAGAUAAAAUAGAAAAUGGAGAAGUAAUUUGCUGAAAAUGGAGCAAUACAUGCAAUUAUUUUCAUGUUAGGAAACCUGCGUUUGUGUGUGUUUUGGAACAUAUAAGGGCAUGGUGCCCUGAUUUAGGUUAUAGGGGAGGCAUUGCUGAGCACAACAGUAAAGAGGACUGGGAAUGUGACCUCAGCAAGGAAAGGAUGUCCUUCAGAGCUAUGUUAGAUUACAGUUUAGGUAAAUUUUUCAAGAAUUGUUGCAUAAUAUUCAUUUUUAGAAGUUUAGGAACUUAAUUUCAAAGUCAUGUCCAGAAGGAAGGCAUGAAUAGCCUUGGACCUAUGAGCUCCUACUGUCCAUGGCUAUGGUACAGCCUGUUCCCACCUUAAAUUCCAACUCCUCCAAGCCAGAAAUUUAUUUAUCCUUGCAUUUCUUACCUAGCCUAAUGCAUGGAACCUGGUAGCUAUUCUAUGAAUAAAUACGUACUGAAUGAAUGAGUGUGUGAGUUAAUUUCUGUAUUUUUUGAUAAUGAGGGUUUCAUUUGAGCUUUGAUGAACAUAAAAAGGCAUAAUAGUCCAGUUUUCAGUAUUUCUUCGUAACAACAUUCCAUGAAAUACAAGGUGCAAUUCUUAUGUCAGUUUUGCUAGAUUAAGAUGUUAGUGAAGAAAAAUUCAUGAGCCUUGAAAUUCUUUUUUUAGCUGUGCUACCUCCACUUUCCAAAAGGGCAAAUGAACAUCUGUGUGUCUGGAACAAAUGACAAAUUAAAAAUAAGAGAUUAAUUAAGCAUUGGAUGAACAGUUUUAACACAAAUUUUAGUACAAUAGAAGUAGGAGAAAUCAAUCAUUUCAAGUUUACUAUAUUGGGGGUUGGAUUUUAUUGAUUAACUUACUUAAAAAGUGACUCCGUCUGAACAAUUAGAAUAUCAGGCAAAGAACAUAGGCUUUUACAUAUAAAACAAGCUUUGGAAGGAUUGUCCAUUAAACAUUAUGAUUGCUGCAAAAAAAAAAUAAUAACAUGCCUUGCACAGCUUUGUUAUCAGGAAACUUUACAUUUGACAUUUUGGAGGCAAAGAAAGCGAAUGGCUUGAAAAGUUGAAAAGCCAAUUCAUCAUGAUGCCUGACAUUUGGGAGCUGAUAUUAUCAUAUGCAAUUUAAAAUUCAGAAUUUAUAAAGUGCCAUCAUAUAAUACAGACCAGCAAAUAAAGGGUCUUGCUGAAAUGUCUGUAUUUAUCUAGGAAAGCAAGGUCGUCACAAAAAGUUGAUGAUUUUGAGUUUGAUAUUUAUGGGUUUGAACUUGAAUAUUUAUUUCUCCCCUCCUCACCCUCAUAUUUUUGAAAAUAAUGAGUUCAUACCUUCUGAAACCAACAAAAUUCUAUAUACAAGAAACUGAUUUUAUAUAGGGAGAUUUAAACAUCUGCUACAUGACCUCUGUUAUUGUGGUCAAGGGACAUUUAUUGAACACGUUUCAUGUGAUGUUUGUUGAUCACUGUUUGCUUUAUUUCUACUCAAAAUAUGAAAGCCCAUGAAAAUAUGUUCAAAGCUACUCUGAGGAUUCUGCUGAGAAACAAUGGUCGUCCUGCUGCUGCUGUGUGCUUAUAUGUAAUGUUUUGUACUCCAGAGAUUACUGUCUGGUAAUAUCAGGAGAUAUUUUUCAGUAACAUCUGCAUAAGAAUACAUCCAAUUGGUUAUAUUCAGAUUAAUUUCGGGAAUCACAGUCUCAAAGUCACGGAAAGUGCCCCUCAGAGUCCUGGGACCCAGAAAAACUUCUUGGCCCUGAACCUGAUCAUCCACUUUCUUUUUCAUCAAGGGAAUCAACAUUAAGAUGGAGAAAAGGACAUGAACCAUUUUACACUUGCUCGCUUCCUUGCCCUGCAUUGAUAAUCUUGCUGUUUUCCUGAAGACUGUGUACUAUGCUUGGCUUUCUUGUGGUUACUCUCAGAUCAGCAGAAUGAAAUAUUCCCUUUCUUCUUUCCUUGCAAAUACAUUAAGAAAAAGCAGCCAGUGAUUUGUACAAUUGACAACUGCAACCAUUGCUCCAGGGCAGCUUGAGAAAAACUCAUAUUCUCUCUAACAUAACCCAGAAGUGCCUGUUCAUCUACCUUAUGACAGUGGCAUGCAUUUCAUUGUUGCUCCGUGAUCAAAUUCAGAAGAGAGAUAGCUGCUGUAUUUUCAAUUGAUACGAAAAUAGCUGGUUGUACUAGACACCAUCUGACGUCAAUGGAAUCAUUAAAAAGCAGUGACCAGUCUGCAGAACCUCUUUGCGGAAGCGAUUGCAGCUCGAAGUGCAGAUACUUAAGCCAUAUAAUUUUUUUUCCUUUGGACAGACAUCUUCUGUCACAAGGUAAUUUCAUCAAUCAUUUUAAAAACAUGUGGUCAGAGCUCAAGUUCUUUCUGCUACACUGUGGUGCAUAAUCCUGUAUAAAAAGUCAGGAUUCGUGGCGUAUGGAAAUAAUGGAAAUGGAGAGUUGAGAACUUCAGGAAAUUUCAUAGUAGACUCCUAAAUAGACUUGAGCCUACAACUUAGCUCCUUCUGUAUUGAUUUCCAGACACAGGCUUUUGGGCUAAAACUUAAAGGUGACUAAGGCAGGAUGCCCUGGACAACAACCAACAUGGUGCUGAGGCCCACUUACAAAUUCUUUCUAAGAGACAGAACUUUCACUUUGACAAAAGAACAAAGAACACUCUCAUGAUCUCUUUUUACUUUAUCUCUCCUCCAUCUUUCAUCAUACCCCAGUGCAAUUCUUCUAAAAUAUCUUCUGAUUAUGCCAGCCUCUUCUUCAACAACCAUACAUGCCUCCUGAUGUCUAUAUUCUUUUUAAUCAGGCCAACUCAUACAUGUCCUAGCCAGAGGCCAAUUAAACAAAUCUUUGGUUUCCCCAGGCCUUUGGACCCUAAAUUUUACACUACUCCUGCUUUUUGUUAUGCACCCAUUCCUGAAACCCACUUGCCUAGUGAUACUCUUGUCAUCACACAGAGUACUUACGGUUCACACUUGAUAGAUUUAGCUUUACUAAUGUCGAGCAGUUGUGUUCUCUUUUGAACACAAUUUGUCAUAGUCUUGCAAUGACUUAGGUAACAUUCUGUUCAACUAAUAUCCAGAUCUAGGUCUCAUGCCAGAAUAUGACUCACCUCCAUCUUGGGAAUGGGUCAUGUCCUCCCUCAUUACCUAUAGGAUAACACCCAUAGCGCUAAACUCCAAUCCAUCAUUCCAGAAUCUUCUAUCAAUUCCCUCCAUACGCCUAUAUAUCAGUCUCUGAGCCCACCACAAUCUUUCAUUCUUCCAUUCUUUUGUCAUGCUGCCUUACACUUGUAAAAUCCUUCCGGUAUUUCCCAUUUAGCGCAUGCACGUUUUAACAUCAACCUCAACCAAUGUCCCAUUCCCCCACCAACUUCAUUGAUCUAAUUUACAUGUUCCCAUGGAAAUGCAUAUUGAUUACACUUGUAAUUGCUUGAUGUUCCUCUGUUUUCCCCUCAAAAUUAACUUUCCAUAAUGAAACUAAUAUUUUAUUCAUUUCUGUAUCCUCAGAUGUAGAUACAACAUAGUCUAUCAAAUGAUUUUUCAAAUGUUUGAGCAUAUGUUGGUUUUGAAAUUUGUGCCACUUAAUACUUAAAUAUAUUUCAUCUAUGCAUCAUUACCCUUGAUUAAUCAUAAACCUGAUGUAUAGCAAGCAUUUUUAAAAUACUUUAUAUACUGCUAGGUCAGUGUUGAGAAUUUAUACUCAAUGAACUCUGUUUUCUUGAUAUUCGCCUCUGGUUUCUGUUUAUAAUGUGAAAUUUUCAUCUAAUAUAUAUUCUUUUAUACUUA
rnacentral:lncRNA from 1 species